AAGUCGUAACAAGGUCUCCGUUGGUGAACCAGCGGAGGGAUCAUUACAGAGUUGCAAAACUCCCUAAACCAUCGUGAACGUUACCCCACAAUCGUUGCUUCGGCGGGCGGCGCCUCACCCGGCGCCCCCUGCCAGGGGCCCUAACGGGCGUCCGCCGGAGGCCUAUAACCCUUGUAUUAUUUUACGGCUUCUCUGAGUUUAUACUUAAAUAAGUCAAAACUUUCAACAACGGAUCUCUUGGUUCUG
rnacentral:misc_RNA from 1 species